rnacentral:lncRNA from 1 species
UAUCAUAGAUAAAAGGUGUAUUUCUGAACUAUUUCUGUUUCUUGUGUUAAAUCUAAUUUAUGUGUUCUUGAGAAAAGUGUUUUACAUAUAUAAAUUGCAUGAUAUAUUGAAGGGUACACAUGAUGCUAAAACGGUUUCUCGAAUAACCUAUUUUACGAAAUAUCAAGGUGACUUUGAAUGUUUCAAUGCCUUACUACUUAUCUUUCUUACUGUAGAUAAUCUAACUGUAUACAAAUUUAAGAUAGCCAGGGCAUAAUACCUUCUUAUGGAAAAUUAACCGUCUGAGAUUUUUAGCACAAUAUGAUAAGUAUAAGAUAAGUAAGAGGUCAAUAACAUAAAAUAUACUUAAUUUAAUGAUAUAUGAUUUUUAAAAGAAGCGAUUAAUAUAAUACAAUUAAGCCUAAUAAACGAGUUUCUGACACCUAUGCUUGACGUUGUUCGAUAUUGAUGCGAAACAGCUUCGGCCUGAAAGAAAUAAUACUUAUUUAAAUGAAUUUUAUAUGCGGAACACGCAAAUGCUACUCCUACGAAUUUAUUAGCAUGUUUUUAGUGUGGACAAACUAUAUUUAAUCAAAGCACAAGGGAAACGUUACAUGAGUAAUCGUAUUAUAUUUUUACCCUUUACCACUCUUAUUUUCUUGCUUUGCACAUGCUUUUAAAUACUGAGUCAGAUUUAUUUUAGAGAAAGCCCUACAGAAAGAGGGAGAGUGCCAGAAAAUGGAAGACAAAAACAGCAAUGAUACGUAAUUUGAAUUCAAUAUAUGUAGUUCGUUUAAUAUCAAAAUAUUGACCAGCUCAAAAUACAUAAAUUAGUAUUAAUGAUAUCCUGCAAAUGGGAUGCACAUACAAAGCAUGUGCUGCCAACUACCGUCGCGGAUUGUAAGCUCGAACUGGAAUAAUACCAUACAUUUCGCGAUACAAAGUCAAUAAUGUUGUAUUGCAAAUUAUCCAGAAAAUAUUUAACUUUGCGUAUAAUCGGUAAAUUUUACUAUUACUAUUAUAUUACUAUUUACUUUUACUAUUACAUUGCAUUACGUUGCAUUUACAAUUGUAUAUUACAGUUAAAAUAAUUUACUCAUGAAGGGUACCAUAAUUACAGAAACGUUUAUGUCAGGAAUAUAUGAACAGAUAAAUAUGCAAAAGUUACUGAUUAGAAUAAGACAGAAAACGUUAAAAUUAGAUAAAAAGAAACGAAGGUUCCUAUCAUGAAAUUUAAUGAAUUUAUUAUGCACUCGAAAGAGAUAUACGAGUCUUGUAAGUUAUUAUAAUAUUUGAAAGUAACAAAACGCUCGACAAGAAGCAACAUGUAGGUAGAUGUCAAUUUGGAUGAUGGCCAAGUACUUUCUGUUUGGAAACGGAUAUAGCUGGUCGCAUCGACUCCUUUUUUGGUCGUCUUGGCGGCAAUGUAAUUACCAUUGGUCGAUAUGUACUACAAUCUUCCCGGAAAUUUCCAAAUUGCAACAAACCGGAGAACGGAAAUUCAUUCACCUACCAGCCAGAGGAAGGGGAGGGGCGAGGAAGGCGAAGAGGAAGUUGUGACAUAAAAAAAGAAAGAAAAUAAAAAGACCACGAACCGUUGAGCUGCAAUCUCUAUGGAUUAUCAGGUUCAAAAGGCUUAAUGCACAAAGGCCGCCCAAGGCAGGUGAAUGUGGUGAAGUUGGGAGGGUGUGUCUCAGGAAGAAAGCGGAUGAAUAGUACUGAAACGAAAGGGGGUGCGCGAUAACUGUUGAUCUCUCGUCGACUCUGCCCUCGAACGGCGACAGAAGAACCGAAAUAAGCACGUGACAUUAUCUUGAAAACAAUGAGACUCCGAUACGGUAUUUACCAGCGAUCGAACGACGAAAAUGUUCUUGGCGAUGUUCCUUUAUUGUCGAUUUCGAGUACUAUUAUUCCAUGACCAAUUUAACAAUAAUACUAUUAGAUAUCGUAAAUUAAAAAAGGAAGAUUUUCUGGUGGAUAUAGGCCGAUCUAACAAAAUUGUUCUUGUGUUAUACUGUUACAAGAAAAACCUGGAUUCUAAUACUAAAUUUUGAUGUCCGAAAUGUAAGUUAAUUUCGAAGCAAGCAUAUGUUGUAGAGUGUUAUACUUUGUAUCUGGCUAAGUAUAUCAUGAUAAAACUCUAUUUAAAUGCCAUUCGUUUCAGUGAAUUUGCAUAAACAUCUGCGUUGUCCAGACGAGUUAUAAUAUAAAGGCAUUGACUUUAAAUAUGUUAAUUAUUGAAAUAUAUUUAACGUGUAAAUUUAUCUCAAAUUACGUAAUAAAUUCCAUCACUAUAAUAGAAACUAUCCGGUUACCAUUAAACAAAGCAAAUGAUUUGCGUGAGUAGAUAAUAGUUUCAGCAAAUUUUUAUUACGCCUACUGUACCAUCUAACGUUUCUGUACCGUUCUCGUGACAGAUAUCACGACGAAAAGUACUUCACCCUUACUCUGUCUCUCUUUUCACGAAAGGGUGAAUAAAACGCAGCGUGAAAUUGUGCGAGACUCGUCGUGUCAAGUAUAAUGACUUGACGGUUCGUACCACCUAUGUGAACCGUAUCUAGAUGCCAACAGGAAUGAAAAUAAAUGGGAAGGACAUAUGUGAACAAUUUGUGAUGUCCUUCUCUUUCUUCUGUUUUUAAGAAAGAAACUUCUGUUUUGGUAUAAUGGUUUUCGUUCAGGCAUAGGCAAACGAACAAAUGAUUACGACGCCUCGUUACCAUUUUUAACGAGGAUAUCGUUUAAUCUCUGACACUCUCUGAUAUGCUUGUUACAGUGAUAUAAAUUGUUUAUCAGACGAUUGGCCACCGGACGUGAAAUUUUCAGUUCGAACUGUGCAGAAUAAUAUUUCUUAGAAUUGUCCAUAUUGGAAUACGUAUUUCUAAUUUUAUUUAUUAAUUACUGUUGGAAAUAUCCUAAUGGAGGAAGUUAAAAAGAAUCGUGUAUAAAAUAUUACAUUUAUUAUGGAAUAUAAAGAAUAAAUUAGAAAACCUAAAUGGUAAUAUACACUUGCUACAGAGUUGUUUAGAGCUGUUUUUCCGAAAUUCUUCGCAAGUAUCUAAAAUUCGUUUUUCAAUUGAAAAUACGAUGUAGGUAAACUUCGGACCUGAAGGCUUAUCAUUUUCUUUUUGGAUAGUAAAAGUAAAUUCAUUAU